rnacentral:rRNA from 1 species
CGCGGCCUAUCAGCUUGUUGGUGAGGUAACGGCUCACCAAGGCUUCGACGGGUAGCUGGUCUGAGAGGACGAUCAGCCACACUGGGACUGAGACACGGCCCAGACUCCUACGGGAGGCAGCAGUGGGGAAUCUUGCACAAUGGGCGAAAGCCUGAUGCAGCAACGCCGCGUGAGGGACGAAGGCUUUCUGAGUUGUAAACCUCUUUCAGCAGGGACGAUUGUGACGGUACCUGCAGAAGAAGCCCCGGCCAACUACGUGCCAGCAGCCGCGGUAAUACGUAGGGGGCAAGCGUUGUCCGGAUUUAUUGGGCGUAAAGAGCUCGUAGGCGGCUUGGCAAGUCGGAUGUGAAACCUCCAGGCUCAACCUGGAGUCGCCAUUCGAUACUGCCAUGGCUAGAGUUUGGUAGGGGACCACGGAAUUCCUGGUGUAGCGGUGAAAUGCGCAGAUAUCAGGAGGAACACCAGCGGCGAAGGCGGUGGUCUGGGCCAAUACUGACGCUGAGGAGCGAAAGCGUGGGGAGCGAACAGGAUUAGAUACCCUGGUAGUCCACGCCGUAAACGUUGGGCACUAGGUGUGGGGACCUAUCGACGGUUUCUGUGCCGCAGCUAACGCAUUAAGUGCCCCGCCUGGGGAGUA